rnacentral:rRNA from 1 species
AGAGUUUGAUCCUGGCUCAGAUUGAACGCUGGCGGCGUGCUUAACACAUGCAAGUCGAACGAGAAAGGGACUUCGGUCCUGAGUAGAGUGGCGCACGGGUGAGUAACGCGUAGGUAAUCUACCUCUGCAUCUGGGAUAACACUUCGAAAGGGGUGCUAAUACCGGAUACACUUAUGUGUCGCAAGACGUAUAAGGAAAGGAGACGAUCCGCAAGGAGUUUCUGUGUAGAGAUGAGCCUGCGUCCCAUUAGCUAGUUGGCAGGGUAAAGGCCUACCAAGGCGACGAUGGGUAGCGGGUCUGAGAGGAUGAUCCGCCACACUGGAACUGAAACACGGACCAGACUCCUACGGGAGGCAGCAGUGAGGAAUAUUGGACAAUGGGCGCAAGCCUGAUCCAGCGACGCCGCGUGAGUGAUGAAGGCCUUUGGGUCGUAAAGCUCUGUCAGCAGGGAAGAACGGCCGUGUGGUUAAUACCCAUGCGGAUUGACGGUACCUGCAGAGGAAGCACCGGCUAACUUCGUGCCAGCAGCCGCGGUAAUACGGAGGGUGCGAGCGUUAAUCGGAAUUACUGGGCGUAAAGGGCGCGUAGGCGGCUGAUCAAGUCAGGUGUGAAAGCCCACGGCUUAACCGUGUGAAGUGCAUCUGAAACUGGUCGGCUUGAGUAUCGGAGAGGAAAGUGGAAUUCCCGGUGUAGAGGUGAAAUUCGUAGAUAUCGGGAGGAAUACCGGUGGCGAAGGCGACUUUCUGGACGAAUACUGACGCUGAGGCGCGAAAGCGUGGGGAGCAAACAGGAUUAGAUACCCUGGUAG